UACGUAGGGGGCAAGCGUUGUCCGGAAUCGUUGGGCGUAAAGCGCGUGUAGGCGGCCUUGUAAGUCCGUUCUGAAAGCCCGGGGCUCAACCCCGGGAGGCGGAUGGAUACUGCGAGGCUCGAGUACGGAAGGGGCAACUGGAAUUCUCGGUGUAGCGGUGAAAUGCGUAGAUAUCGAGAGGAACACCUGCGGCGAAGGCGGGUUGCUGGGCUGACACGUGACGCUGAAGCGCGAAAGCUAGGGGGAGCGAACGGG
rnacentral:rRNA from 1 species